GCAUCUCUUCAAGCAUCUCCAAAGAUGCUGCCUACCUACACAUCUCAGUAAGGGACCUGAGGUAGUGGCCUCCCUCCUGGCAAAUGGCCUCACCGGCUAGAGUGGACAGGCCCCUCGGGCGGCAGCCCCUGCAGCCCCCUUCUGGUCAGGGGCCUGGCUAAGGCUGCCUUCCCUUCUCUCUGCUCCCUGGCCCUGAGGGUGUGUGGUCUGGCUUCCCUGGGGCCUGGUGAGUCAGGCCCCACACCCACUCUGGAGCCACAAAGCAGAGCAGUGGCCUGAGCCUCUGCUCACCUGGAGGAGCCUGAUAGUCCUGUAUGCCGGGGCUGACAUCCUGCUGGACCCCAGGGCAAUGACUUUGGGCCAGUCCUAGGCCCCAGGAACGGGAGGAGGGGAAGUGGGAGGGGUGGCUGGCCUGUCCCCACUGGCUUCUGGCUUUCCCUGGCAGCACCUUCGUUAACCACAGCCUUGCCCACAGCACUGCCUGCGUCUGGGCCUCUGCUAACGGACCCACCAACUCCAGUCAUCACUGAAGAUCUGACUUCAGCGUCUCCGCCUCCAGGAAGACUUCCUUCAGCUUCAGGGUGUCUCAAGUGUCCCCCUGGCCUUUCCCAUGCUGCUCCCUUGGGAAGCACUCACCCAUGUGUGCCUCUGGCCCCAUCAGCUCGGGUCUUUCUGAGGGCAAGUCUGUGUCGUCUGUGUCCUUGACCCCUGGCAGGUCUGCCUCUGUGAAUGAAGCUCUCAGGUGUGGCGGGACAGCCAGGCUGGGGCAGGUGGGAGGGGGGACAAGUCGGGGUUUCUUCCCUUCAGACGUGGGCAGAGUGUCUCCCAUCUGCCAUAAGAAUUAGAGCUGCUCGUGUGAACCCACAUACCUGCAGAGUCGUAGUCACAGGUGACGAAGCUGGGGCUCAUCGGGACAAAGUGGCUCCAAUCACAACUGGCCACUAAGGUCUGCCUCCGGGGGCUGCUUUGUCUGAGACUCAGCUGCCCGGCCCAGGUAUGUUCUGCUCUGAGGCAGGGGACUGAACAAGCUGACCUCUCAUGGGCCUCCAGGUCAGGAUGGGAGCCUUCCAGUGACACAAGCUGAGGCUCCAACCAGGUCUCGGCCCCCUGACCUGCUCACCCACAAGGCAAGUGCCAGCCCUCCCACCAGCCCAACUGGCUCCC
rnacentral:lncRNA from 1 species